GGGUGCGAUCAUACCAGCACUAAUGCACCGGAUCCCAUCAGAACUCCGACGUUAAGCGUGCUUGGGAGACAGUAGUACUAGUCGAGGCGCAAGUGCGAUAAGAGGCAGCCU
rnacentral:rRNA from 1 species